rnacentral:rRNA from 1 species
UAGGGAAUCUUCCACAAUGGACGAAAGUCUGAUGGAGCAACGCCGCGUGAGCGAUGAAGGCCUUCGGGUCGUAAAGCUCUGUUGUUAGGGAAGAACAAGUACCGUUCGAAUAGGGCGGUACCAUGACGGUACCUAACCAGAAAGCCACGGCUAACUACGUGCCAGCAGCCGCGGUAAUACGUAGGUGGCAAGCGUUGUCCGGAAUUAUUGGGCGUAAAGCGCGCGCAGGCGGUCCUUUUAGUCUGAUGUGAAAGCCCACGGCUCAACCGUGGAGGGUCAUUGGAAACUGGGGGACUUGAGUGCAGAAGAGAAGAGCGGAAUUCCACGUGUAGCGGUGAAAUGCGUAGAGAUGUGGAGGAACACCAGUGGCGAAGGCGGCUCUUUGGUCUGUAACUGACGCUGAGGCGCGAAAGCGUGGGGAGCAAACA